rnacentral:rRNA from 1 species
UCAUAUGCUUGUCUCAAAGAUUAAGCCAUGCAUGUCUAAGUACAUGCCGUAUUAAGGCGAAACCGCGAAUGGCUCAUUAAAUCAGUUAUGGUUCCUUGGAUCGUACCUUACUACUUGGAUAACUGUGGCAAUUCUAGAGCUAAUACAUGCAGCAGAGCUCCGACCUUCGGGAACGAGCGCUUUUAUUAGACCAAAWCCAAUCGGACCUCGUGUCCGUCUCUUGUGGUGACUCUGUAUAACUUUGGGCUGAUCGCACGGGCUCGUCCCGGCGACGUAUCUUUCAAGUGUCUGCCUUAUCAACUGUCGAUGGUAGGUUACGCGCCUACCAUGGUCGUAACGGGUAACGGGGAAUCAGGGUUCGAUUCCGGAGAGGGAGCCUGAGAAACGGCUACCACAUCCAAGGAAGGCAGCAGGCGCGCAAAUUACCCACUCCCAGAACGGGGAGGUAGUGACGAAAAAUAACAAUACGGGACUCUUUUGAGACCCCGUAAUUGGAAUGAGUACACUCUAAAUCCUUUAACGAGGAUCCAUUGGAGAACAAGUCCGGUGCCAGCACUCGCGGUAAUUCCGGCUCCAAUAGCGUAUAUUAAAGUUGUUGCGGUUAAAAAGCUCGUAGUUGGAUCUCAGCUCAGGCCGGACGGUCCGCCUNCCGGUGGUCACUGUUCGAGUCGAGUGUUCCGGCGGUUUCCUCUGAUGAUCUUCNCCGGUUGUCUCGGGUGACCCCCAAGUUUACUUUGAAAAAAUUANAGUGCUCAAAGCAGACGUGACGUCUGAAUACUUGUGCAUGGAAUAAUAGAAUAGGACCUCGGUUCUAUUUUGUUGGUUCUCGGAACACGAGGUAAUGAUUCUUAAAGGAAUUGACGGAAGGGCACCACCAGAAAUGGGGCCUGCGGCUUAAUUUGACUCAACACGGGAAAUCUUACCCGGCCCGGACACAGGAAGGAUUGACAGAUUAAGAGCUCUUUCUUGAUUCUGUGGGUGGUGGUGCAUGGCCGUUCUUAGUUGGUGGGGCGACUUGUCUGGUUAAUUCCGAUAACGAACGAGACUCUAGCCUACUAAAUAGACGAUCCGAUCCUUCUAGUCGGACGCUCUUCUUAGAGGGACAAGCGGCGUUUAGCCGCACGAGACAGAGCAAUAACAGGUCUGGGAUGCCCUUAGAUGUCCGGGGCCGCACGCGCGCCACAUUGAAGGAAUCAGCGUGUGCUCUCCCUGUCCGAAAGGACUGGGUAACCCGUUGAAACUCCUUCGUGCUGGGGAUAGAACCUUGCAAUGGGUUCUUGAACGAGGAAUUCCCAGUAAGCACGAGUCAUCAGCUCGUGUUGAUUACGUCCCUGCCCUUUGUGCACACCGCCCGUCGCUACUACCGAUUGAAUGAAUUAGUGAGGUCUUCGGACUGGCGCACGAAUUGGCCUUCGGGUCGAGUCGUCGUGCCGGAAAGAUGACCAAACUUGUUUAUUUAGAGGAAGUAAAAGUCGUAACAAGGUUUUCGUAGGUGA